UUCGGCAAUGGACGGAAGUCGUGACCGAGACAACGCCGCGUGGAGUGGAAGAAGGUGUUCGGAUGCGUAAAGCUCUGUUGUAAGAGAAGAACGAGUGUGAGAGUGGAAAGUUCACACUGUGACGGUAUCUUACCAGAAAGGGACGGCUAACUACGUGCCAGCAGCCGCGGUAAUACGUAGGUCCCGAGCGUUGUCCGGAUUUAUUGGGCGUUAAAGCGAGCGCAGGCGGUUAGAUAAGUCUGAAGUUAAAGGCUGUGGCUUAACCAUAGUACGCUUUGGAAACUGUUUAACUUGAGUGCAAGAGGGGAGAGUGGAAUUCCAUGUGUAGCGGUGAAAUGCGUAGAUAUAUGGAGGAACACCGGUGGCGAAAGCGGCUCUCUGGCUUGUAACUGACGCUGAGGCUCGAAAGCGUGGGGAGCAAACAGGAUUAGAUACCCUGGUAGUCCACGCCGUAAACGAUGAGUGCUAGGUGUUAGACCCUUUCCGGGGUUUAGUGCCGCAGCUAACGCAUUAAGCACUCCGCCUGGGGAGUACGAACCGCAAGGUUGAAACUCAAAGGAAUUGACGGGGGGCCCGCACAAGCGGUGGGAGCAUGUGGGUUUAAUUCGAAGCCAACGCGAAGAACCUUACCAGGUCUGAACUUCCCUCUGACCGCUCUAAAGAU
rnacentral:rRNA from 1 species